GAUGAACGCUGGCGGCGUGCCUAAUACAUGCAAGUAGAACGCUGAAGCUUGGUGCUUGCACCGAGCGGAUGAGUUGCGAACGGGUGAGUAACGCGUAGGUAACCUGCCUCUUAGCGGGGGAUAACUAUUGGAAACGAUAGCUAAUACCGCAUAAAAGACGAUAUCGCAUGAUAUUGAUUUGAAAGGUGCAAAUGCAUCACUAAGAGAUGGACCUGCGUUGUAUUAGCUAGUUGGUGAGGUAACGGCUCACCAAGGCGACGAUACAUAGCCGACCUGAGAGGGUGAUCGGCCACACUGGGACUGAGACACGGCCCAGACUCCUACGGGAGGCAGCAGUAGGGAAUCUUCGGCAAUGGGGGCAACCCUGACCGAGCAACGCCGCGUGAGUGAAGAAGGUUUUCGGAUCGUAAAGCUCUGUUGUAAGAGAAGAACGAGUGUGAGAGUGGAAAGUUCACACUGUGACGGUAACUUACCAGAAAGGGACGGCUAACUACGUGCCAGCAGCCGCGGUAAUACGUAGGUCCCGAGCGUUAUCCGGAUUUAUUGGGCGUAAAGCGAGCGCAGGCGGUUAGAUAAGUCUGAAGUUAAAGGCUGUGGCUUAACCAUAGUACGCUUUGGAAACUGUUUAACUUGAGUACAGAAGGGGAGAGUGGAAUUCCAUGUGUAGCGGUGAAAUGCGUAGAUAUAUGGAGGAACACCGGUGGCGAAAGCGGCUCUCUGGUCUGUAACUGACGCUGAGGCUCGAAAGCGUGGGGAGCAAACAGG
rnacentral:rRNA from 1 species